rnacentral:rRNA from 1 species
AGGAUGAACGCUGGCGGCGUGCCUAAUACAUGCAAGUCGAACGAGGUCUUCGGACCGAGUGGCGAACGGGUGAGUAACACGUUGGUACCUACCCCGAAGUGGGAAUAACUGCCCGAAAGGGUGGCUAAUACCGCAUAAUACCGCAAGGUUAAAGCAGUAAUGCGCUUCGGGAGGGGCCUGCGUCCCAUUAGCUAGUUGGUAGGGUAAUGGCCUACCAAGGCGACGAUGGGUAGCUGGUCUGAGAGGACGAUCAGCCACACUGGGACUGAGACACGGCCCAGACUCCUACGGGAGGCAGCAGUAGGGAAUCUUGCGCAAUGCGCGAAAGCGUGACGCAGCAACGCCGCGUGGGGGAAGAAGGCUCUCGGGUUGUAAACCCCUUUCAGUUGGGACGAAGCUUCGUCGGUUAAUAGCCGGCUGGAGUGACGGUACCUUCACAAGAAGCACCGGCUAACUACGUGCCAGCAGCCGC